GUGCGGUGGCACACACCUGUAAUCCCAGCUACUCAGAAGGGAGGCUGAAGGGGCAGGAUCGCUUAAGCCCAGGAGUUAGAGGCUACAGUAAACCAUGAUUGCUCCACUUGCGCUCCAGCCUGGGCAACAGCAAAGCAUAUAUUUCAUGUGACAAGAUUUAUGGAGUAAAGAAAAUAAUUCAGUGGAAGAGAAUUGUGGAAAAGAUAUUUCAAGUCCCAUGCCUAAAAAACAAGUAUUUGCUGUUAAUUUUCACCAUUCAGGGCAUUUACAUUACUGGAGCAACUGGAGGCUACACAGAUUUCUAAGACAAAUGAUCUUUCUAGGAAAAUGUAACCAAGAUUAAAUCAAGACUGCUCAUUAUAAGCCCAACACAUUAAGCACAUCAAUGCCCCCAUAAGUGCCUCUGCAUCAAUCAGGAUUUAUCACAGAAGCGGAAUCACUGUGAGUGAUAUGGAGUAAGGAGGUAUUACGAGGAUUAUACUUUAAUCUAUACAGAAGCUGGUGGAAGAGGCCAUGUAUCUGGAACUGAUUCUAAGUAGGUAUAGAUCAGCCAAACCAGCAGUUGGGAAGAAAAGAUGAGUGUGGACAGCAGCAAAGACAAACUAUAAUUCACAAAGAUGAACUAAAACCUGCAAAGAAAAUAGAAACCUCUGAGGAAAACCGGAACACACAUCUUUCAGCACUUGUAACCUGGAUUCUGUGGAUGACAUGCAGGAUAAGCUGGUAUCCUUUGCCUUGGGAUUGCAGGCACAUUGGUUGAGGACUUAGAAAAACUGAAAGAGGAGUCAGUGAGAACUGGAGUCACUGGAGCUCCAGGUGCUGCUCCAUGCCUGCAAGGUGAGUCAUCAGGUCAGCAACAGCAUGCAUGAGCUGCCCCAGUGCCAAAUGCCAUCCAUCAACCUUCUGAGAAUAAAAAAUACACUGCCUCGCAUUUACCUCCAAAUCUCUCGGGUGGCAAAUAUUAAUGGGACUGUUAAGGGAAGAGGAUUACGGAAAACAGAUUCUGUCUAUUAAUAUUGCUACAUAACAAAUGCCCACAAAAUCUAGCUGCAUAACUAUAUCUCACAGUUUUUAUGGGCCAAGGAUCCAGGAAGUGCUUGGCUCUAUGUCUGUGGUUUGAGAUCUCUCCUGCACUUACUGUAAAACAGGGUCUGGCUUUGGAAGAGCAGGAAGGUGGAGCAGGUGGGGACUGCAGUUGCAGGACCUCUCUGUGUGGCCUCUCCAUGUAGGCUAGUUUUGGUUUCUCCAGGGCAGCCGGGCUGCUAACAUGGCUGCAGGCUUCAAGAGCAAGUAUUCAGUGAGGACAGCAGAAAUAGCAUGACCUUUUACAAUCUAGCCUCAGAAGUCAUAUGGCAUCACUUCCAGGAUGUUGCAUUGUUUCAAACAGUCAUAAAAGUGCACCCAGGUUCAAUGGAGGAGGAAUUAGAGUCUACCUCUUGAUGGAGGAAUCGUAAGGGUCUGGAAGAGCACAUGGAAUGAAAGAUCCUGUUGGCAUACUUCUUUCUUUCAGUAUGUCUAGCCAGAAGAUCUAUGCAGAAAUCAGCAUCUGAAUUUUUUCACUUUAUUUAUUUUCUGGUAACUCCUAAGUCAAACAAUAACAAUAAAUACCAGAUAAAUGUAAAUUCUGUUUGUAGUUCUUGACAUAAUUGGGAUGUAUUCCUAAGUAUGAUUAUGAUAAUACCUGCUAUAUAUUCCUAACAUUGAGACAACAAUAUCUAGGGGAUGAGACAGAAAGAAAAAUGAAGCCCACAUUAAAAUUACUACAUAAAAUUUUAAAGUAGUUAUUGUUUUAACCUCUCUGGGCUUCAGUUUUGUCAACCGUGAAAUGAAGACACCCUACAUAAAUGACUUACUUCAUCUUCCAUCAGUUUCUUGAAUCUACAAUAAAGAAGACCAUAUUUAAACACCCUCUACAAGAUGAAGACCUUUUUUUUAACAAAGUGAACAAGAAAACCAGUAUUUAGGAAUGAUGUAUUUGAUUGCUUUUUCCUAGAUUUGAAAUUUACAUGUGAGAUGUUAAGAGCAAUAUUAAGAAAUAUAACUCUGAAUCUCCUUCCAAUGCUUCUGAUUUUCAGACAUGUACAGUGCCUUUUAUCUGCAGAAAAGUACAACAUGAUUCAAAGAUAAACCAAUUUUGAGAAACAGAGAUGGAUUAAUAAAAUAUUUACUGUUCAAGAAAGAAAAGAAAGCUUCUAUAAUUCUCCUACAUUUCUCUUCAUUAUAACCCUACAGAAUGUUUGCUCAUGUGAGUCACAAAUGAAUCUGGGGAAGAAUCUAGCAGAGGGUUUUGAUUAAAUGGUAUGCUGAAUAAACAAUGCUGAGACAUUUUAAUGAGGUCACAUAAAAAGGCUGUGUGGAAAAGAAAUAUUUUAAAAAUCACUUUGAGGCUCUAUCCUUAAAUCAUUUCCUGGAGAACUGGGCUCUAUUUCUUCUCAUUGUACCAUUAACCAAAGACUUUAAAUCCUCUCACUGAUUUUGCUACCAUGAAUGAUCCAUGGCUCCUUAGCACAUAGAUUUCCAUUUCUGUGUUUCUGAAAAUUAUUGAGGCUCAUUCUAUGAGCCUGAUUUCAAUAAUGAAAUCAGGUAAAUAAAUGCCCUGUUUAAAGCUAAUGGCAUUUAGUUACUUCUUCACAUAAGUCAAAAGCAAAGUUAAAUAAUAGGCCUAUAGCUCUUUACGAAACAAUGCCAAAAUAUUGUUGCUCGCCUAUAAUGCUUGCUGAUGGCCAGAGAGCCAGAGGUUAUACAAAAGUCAAUCUGAAGGCUGGGCAUGGUAGGUCACUCCUGUAAUCCCAGCACUUUGGAAGGCCGAGGCGGGCUGACCACUUGAGGCCAGGAGUAUGAGACCAGCCUAGCCAACAUGGCAACUCCCUGUCUCUAGUAAAAUUACAAAAAUUAACUGUUGUGGUGGCACAUGUCUGUAAUCCCAGCUACUUGGGAGGCUGAGGCACAAGAAUCACUUGAACCCGGGAGGCAAAUAUGGUUGCAGUGACCCAAGAUCACACCACUGCACUCCAGCCUGGGUGACAGAGUGAGACUCUGUCCAAAAAAAAAAAAAAGAAAGAAAGAAAGAGAAAAGAGGGGAGGGGAGGGAAGUCAGUCUGAGAUUUUUGAGACCAAGAAACAAAGACUUGGGAAGUUAAAUAUAUGGACCAAACUCAUAUAACCAAUUGGCAACUGAAUCUGACCUUAAUAUGAUUGGCUUGGAAAUGGGAUAGGGCUGACAAGAAGAUGGAUGUUAGUCCCUAUGAGGCAUGGAAAGAAGGGGAAAAGGAAUCAAACAUGACCAGAACUGGUCUGUAUGGUCAAAAAGUAGUCAAAUGUUGGCAUUGUGGAUUUAAGAGGUAGGACAGUUAGAGGUGAUAUAAAGGUUCAGGUCGACCCAUGCAAAUUGGUGACAUAAGUGGAAUAAAGUCAAGGAACUGAGAAAGGCAAGGGUGUGAAUUGAGUCAUUGACACACAUACUAAAAUCCUGGAUGACAUCCCACAGUGGAGAGAAAUGUUGUGGGUGAGUUUUACAGGUAUUUAGUGAUUUGGGGACCAAAAUAGAGAGUUAUUAGACAACUGGGCCAAUGUGAGGACCAGCAUAGAAUAGCCAGAAACAACGGGCCUCAGAAGCCCAACGCUUUUCCAGGGGUUGGAGACAUAAUGGUUUGUAACAGGCAUGUUAAGGCUAGAAGUCAACCACUUUCUUCCCCAGAGAUCUCCUGGUUUGGGAAAAAUUAGCUGCUAUGCUUAUGUGGGCCACAGAGAAACAGGAUUCAGUGGAGACAACAGGGUAGAGUGAAUGUGUUUGGAAGAGAAGAGGAUGCAAAGGAGUCUGUUUACCAUAGAAGAUAAAUAUUCAAAAGGCAAAAGAGAAAGGUUUGAGAGGGAGGGUUGCAGUAGAAACUUGGGUCUCAGGAACAGAAACAGGAAGCUGUGUGGGAUGUCACUACCUUUCAGGCAGAAACACAAAAAGAUGAAAAUACAUGGGCACCAUCCACAAAAAGAAUACAGUCUAUAUGAGAAAAUUGUCCUAGCAAACAGAAUUAUCAUUAAACAUGGAUUACAUCCAUUAUAUACACACAUAUGUGCCCACAUAGCAGUAACAUACAUAUAUACCUUUUAAAUCUGUCUGCUACUCACCCAGAGAUAAAUCUUGUCUUCUCAUCUAGAUUGUAAGCUACUAAAAAAAAGGCUUAUGUUGUGUAUCAGUGUUAUUAGCAUAAAUCGAAGUCGAAUUUAGGUAGGUCAAACCAAAUUAAGAUCAUCUGAGAAUGUUCAACCCCUUCUUUUUCUGUUUUCAUUUGUUACCAUUAAAAAUUAAUAUCUUUUCUUAUCUGAGACGUUUACAAAUCUGUCAGUGUAACCCAGUAUGUUGAUGAAUAAAGCUGAGGACGGCCUGGACAUCA
rnacentral:lncRNA from 1 species